rnacentral:lncRNA from 1 species
CUCUUUCCUGUUCAUUGAGGAGGGCAAGUUGGGAAGGACCUUCAUUCUCAAGGAUAUGUCUUAUACCAGGAGCAUCACCAGUUGGUUCCAUUAAUUCCCCAUCUCAUAAUUUCUCUUUGGUGGAACAAAAUAACAUUCUGUGAUUGACCUUGGCAUUGGCAUCCCUCAGUUUUAUUUUUGGCCUGAUUAAUUUCCUGGGCUGUUGUUCCAUUUUAACAUACCAUUUCUUCUCCAUGUUCUCUUUGAAAUUUCUAUCUAGUCACGCAGGGAUGCUUUUCUCUUUCAGGGUCUGCUAUUUUGGGCCCUGGCCUCACCCCUUCUAUCCUGGAAUUCUAAUACUGUAUUUUAAAAUAGCCUCCAGGUUUCUGUGGACUUUAUAAACUUUUCAAUCUCCCCUUAACAAUAUCUCUCUUUCUCUCUGAAAUUUGGCAUUUGGGUUCAGGAUAUAGCUUUAGAGAGGACUUGCAGGCAGGAGCAGUAUAAGCAGGGGUAGGGAGUGUUGUUUAUUUUUACCAAGAGGCCCUUUGGUGAUUCAGAGGGAGAGAUGAGUGUGCUGUCUGGGUCAGGGUGAGCUCUGUUCCUGAGCUCUGUUUCUCUGGCAGGAUCUGUACCUAGCAUUCCCAAGGCUGCCAGGCCUGUGAAUGUGCUCCUCUCUCUGCAGUGUGGCCUAUAUGCAGGUUUCUCUUCUAUCCCCCACCUCCCAGAGGAUGAGGGAAGUGAUUGACUUGAGUAUCCUGGCUUGACAUGCUUCCUGAGAUGAGGCCAGAAUCUCUGCAGGACAGAUUGAGAAAAUGUAAUGGUUGCAGUGGCACUUGGAGAAUCUGAUUUUUGACAUGGGAGAAUUUCCAAGGAACCAAUUAGGAGGAUCAAGGGAAAGUAGAACCUCUUUGGAGAUAUUUAGAAUAUCUGUGUGAACAGGAAAUGCAGACUAGGUAAAGCAAGGCAGUGG